UAUACAUGUAAUUUCCCCUUUAAUCAAUGCUAAAAGAAAAAAAUAUGAUUAAAAGAAGAAGACUAAGAAAAUAAGAAGACUCAAUUGCGAUGAAUUGUUAUUUAAUUAUAUUUUAAGUGUUUUUCAAAUAAGGAUUAUUUAUCACUGUAGAAAAAUAUGGUAAUAAUUAUUAACAAAAUAAUAACUUAUAUAACAAAUAGAUUUUCAUGUAACGUUAUAAAAUAUGUACAUAUUUACAUUUUUCUACUUUUGAUCGGUUUUGUUCGGUUUAUUCGGUUUAAUCGGUUAUAAACAAAACCAUAUCCAAAUCCUACGGUUUUUAUAAAAUCAUAUCCAUUCGGUAUAUAUGGCAUAUACCAAAACCACACUAUAUUGUCUAUUUCGGUUUGAUUCGGUUCGGUACGGCUCGAUUUUACCAUAUUAGACAUCCCUAAUAACCCCUAUUAAAGAUUAACAUCAUUUUAUUUUAUUUUUUCUGAUUUUUUCUUAAAUAUUGAAAAGGUCUUUACGGCAUGUGCAAUGUGAAUUGUUUAAGGGAAGUAUCUCACAAUUUAUAUCAUAACUAAUUAGAGAAUCUUACAAUACUAAAGGGAUUGAGCUAGAGUUCUCAGCCUAUCCAACUCAGCAGAUUAAAUCAACCAAUUAGAGAGUAGUAUGAUGCCACAUCACUCAAGCUUUGUCGACACCCUAGCGUGUCUCAUCGUCUUCACCUUCUAUGUGUUUCUAAGACCAUUUCUAAUGUAUUUUGCUAUUUUCACCUAUAAAAUAGGGGAACUUUAUAAUAGAGGUGAGAUAUGCUCCAAUGUAUUUAAAAUAGCAAUGUCUAAAAUAUAGAGUAAAAAAACAGAGGAAUGCUAUUUCUUCCUCUAUAAAUAGAGGAAAAAAUAGAGAUCUCUAUUAUAGAGAAAGAAAUAGAGGUGUGUUGGAGCAAUUUCACCUCUAAAUACUAUUAUAGAGGUGAAAAUAACAAUGGGUUGGAGAUGCUCUAACUUCUUUAAUUCUCAUCUGUAACGUCCGGCUCCCACUUACAAAACCCUUUAUCUACUAUGAUAAUCAGACCAAGAAACCGUUGAGAGUCCCUCAGCUUUUCACUUAUUUAUACCCAUAUUCACAUUUUCUUCCCCACGCCAAAAUAUUAAAAACCGUAUAAACACCCCAGAAAAUUCCUUUCAAAUCUGCAAAAUCAAUGGGGAAGGCUACAACGUCUUUCUCCAAAAUUUGUUUUAGGGUUCUUGGAAAUUGGCUUUUCUAGGAAAAGUUUCCAUUGAUUUUGCAGAUUUCCUUACAGAACAGAGCCAUUAACUGUCUCCCUUCCUCUCAGGUUUUCCAUCUCUGGUGGUAUCUUGGAUGUGAUCUCUCUUAUCUUUAUCUUUUUCUUUUAAAGCAUUAGUAAGAAGAAAUAGUUCUUUAUUGUUGUGUGCAGGUUACAAUUGAGAAGAUCCAAGGAGGCAUUGAUAUAAGAUUUUGUAGAUGAAAAUAAGGUCAAUACUUUCCAAGGAGGAUAUCUUCAGAAGCCUACCAAGCAAUGAUUAUUUAGAGGUAUAUAACGAAGAUAUAAUGUUCUUGGUUUAGAGAGUUAAACUAUCUCAAACGUCCACUGAGAAAAUUGUACUGAUCGUUUGUGUUUUUUAUGCAGGAAAAGAGUUUAGAUAUUAACAAGGCUUAGAGUGUUGGUCUAGGAGGUUCAACUGAUUCCAUUGGUGAAUCAGGUGGAUGGAUGGUUUGAAAGGGAAUGCACACUAGCCAGUUCCUACAACAGAGAACGGGAAUUGACGAUCAAAUAGAGAGAGGUGAAACAUUGACUCCACUUCUGAACAUGUACAAAGCCCAAAUGCAAUUCUGUGAGGAUUCAAAGCUUAUGAAAGUUUUCUUAGAAGUAGUGUGAUCACUCUAUGAACUUUUAGUUGCAUUGAUAGAUAAGAAAAAGUGGAUACAUAUUGUUGUGUUUUGGUCUUUGCCUAAAAUAAUUUUGAGAUGUUUGCUAUGUUUUUCAUCAGAUUAAAAGGUCAAUGAUACCAUUAGAAAAUACUAUAUUUUCUGAGGUUACAGACAGUGACUACACUCGGGGAGUUUGUUCUAUUUGUCAGCUCUUAGACAGUUAUCUAUAGGGUUGUUUUAUUAUUACGAACGUAGGAAUGAGUUUCUUCUGUUCUCAGUGGUAACCUUACGAGAUCUUAUGAUCUAUUGGAAAUAAUGUUUCCCUGAGUUUCCUUUGUGAAACGGCCGAGGAACUCCAAGAAGCAAGUUAGAAGCUGCAACUGUAACAAUGGUUUUGUACAACUAAAGAACCAAUUUAUGUCAAGUAUAUUGUUCUACAAAGUCUCACCCUUUUCUAUAUCUUAUAUUCUUGAUUAGGUGUGUUCCUUAGCUUUUUUCCAACGCACGUUACCAAAUUAUCAACAGCCUUGAACGCAUCUUGGAAGGUUCAACAGAAUCAAAAUGCAUUCCUGUGGUUGCGGUGGCAUUUAAGGUUGGAGUCCGGUUUUCUAAUAACGUAUAUGGAGGUGUGCAGUUUGUGGAUUGGGCUUAAUUAUCCGGCGUCCAGUAGUCAAACCGGUUUCAAACCAGCAUUAGGAGUUUCCGUCUGAGAUCUUUAUAUCUGACGAUGUAUUAGUCUAUCAAUGCAAAACUGGACAACAUAACGAUGUGAAGUAUGCAUAUGAAUUGAAGACUGAGACUACGACAAGAUUAUUGCAACAGUUGAUGUUAUUGAACUUUUUGCUCUAUUAUUUAUUUGGAAAAUAAUAUAUUAUCUGCCUAAAUAAGUCAUGUGAAUGCAUAAUAACUGAUUGUAUGAAAGUGGACAUUCUCUUCUUUCACGAAUUAUGCUUUAUAUAGUUGGUCGCUGUCUCGCUGAUUAUUGUUUUUUUUUUUUACUCAUUUUUCUUCAUGAUCAAGUUGGAUUGCUCUCUGUCCAUGGUGGCUGCAGCUAAAGAGGUCUUUUAUGAGAUGUUCUUGAGGAGUCAAUCUUUAAGAACUGAUCACUGGGUACUGCCAAAUCUACCGGGUUCAGUUCUCGGUUUCACUGUGGCUCCAAUUUUGUGGCAAGUGCUUGUGCUAAGUUGGUUGUAGUCUCUGGUCAUUGUUGCUUUACUUGUAGAUGUUGUCCUCGUGUUUGCUUAAGAUUGAGUUGUUGUUUAGUUUUAAUUUUUUGCAUCCUCUGCUCCUUGUGUUCUUUGUUGUUCUGUCAAAAACAAAAUGGUAGUAAAAUUUAACAUUUUUACCAAAAAAAAAAAGUUGGAUUGCUCUAUUUAUUUUAGACGGGUGUUCUCAAAAUUUGAAAUGAGUAAUUAUUUCUUACUUUAGAUCUCGUAACCUCAUAAAGCAGAAACUGUCAAAUGUCUUUUGAAACAUGUAUUCUCUUACCGUGGUUAAAGCUACUAUUAUAUGUGGAUUUUUUUUCACUAGCUAGAGAAAAAGAAAGACAAAACUAUGAAAAAAGUUUUUUUUUUGUGAAAAACUAUGAAAGGUUUUCACCACCAAACUAUUCACAUAAAAAUAGGGAGAAACAAUGAAUAUGACAUAAAUUUGUUAAAAAUAAUUUUUGUUAAUAUAUGGACUUAUAUUUUUCUUAUAAUAUGACCACAAUAUAUAUGUCCGAAACCCGGACGUAGCCCGGGAAAAUCUCUAGUCUUUUAAUAAAGUUGACAAAUAAGAGACUCGCAUGGAUUUUCAACGUUAUGCAGAGACAUAUUUAUUUAUUGAUAUAAAUGGUGAGAUACUACUCUUGAAAAAUUCCCACUAUUGAUGGUCUUAGUCAACCUAAAAUUCUAUAAAAGCACCAUUAAAGUUUUAGUUAUGACCUAGUUUAAGUGGUGGGUUUAUUAACAUAUCUUAUCCGAUACCCAAAAUGCUUACUUUUUUGGAGAAGUCAUUUACGUCUUCGAUCUGUUUUUUGUGUGGCAUUAGAGUUUCUAAACCUUUUUAAAAAAUGUAAUUACAUUUGAAAUGAAGUGAAUGUAUUUAAUGAAUGGUUAAUGAAUUGGGAAACCUUAAAAUAUUGGUCUCAUGGCCAAAAAUACAUGGAUGGAAGCAAGUAACAAAAAGAGUAAUUCCUGACGGUCAAAUCCCUGAGAAAUCAGUCGAAAAUGGCUAUGUCCAACCGGUUUUCGACGGAAUUGAUGGUCAGUUCUAUAUAGUCGGAAAUCUUCUUCUCGAAAGAUAUAAGUAUGUCCAAUAUUUAAGAUAUCUCGAAAUUGCUGUCAGAAAAGAAAAUAAGAGAAGGUUGAUUGGAAACUGCCCUCAAUGCCUAAACCACGACUCUCAACCCACAACACUAAAAUCAAGAACUAACGUCAAGAAAACACUAUAAUCUGCAAAAAAAUUCCAUUCUAUGAAAAUCAAAUCCCGUACCUUAUGUGGAAAUCUUUAAAAUAUGCAUAUAAAUAUAAAUUGAAUUUUAGUUGGUUCUUAUUUUCCUUAUAAAUUUUGAUGAUAAGAAGUUUGUCUUGUUUUCACCCCCUUUUAUAAUUAAGACAUGGGAAACAAAAGGUGAAAUCAAUAAGAGAAAUAAUGAACAAUCUGUUAGAAGAUAAAGAUCAAAACAAGAUAAUUAUCCAUCUUGGACACUUGUCUCAUUCUUGGAGAUUAUGUAUUAGCCAUCAUCCAAAUGUCACUCUAAUAGUUUUGUCUUUUAGUUAAUAAUCGGUUUGAUGAACCGACUUUAGGCUACUAUAAAUAGUGGCUCUUUGUAUGGUUUGUAUAAUAAUUAAGAAUCCAAGAAUAUAGUCAUUCUCUCUCUCUCGUUUCUAUUUUCUAAACGAACAAAUAAAAAAGUCAACUCCUCUCUAUCUCUCUUGUUAAAUAAACAAUACACACAAAGAAUAAUAAUACAUACACACAUAUAUAUAUAUAUAGCUGAUACAGUUACAUCUAUCUCAAUUUAUAUUUCACAACACGUUAUCAGCACGAAGCUCUGACCAAUUGAAAUUUAUCAAUCCAAAUUUUUUUAAACCAGUCGAGGUAAUGUUUAAAUUGAUGUGUUUCAAUAUACUUAAUUUAUUUAAAUUUUAUUAUUGUUCCAGAGUGAGAGGAUAGACCUCUGUUUAUUAUUCGGGAUGAGGCGUUGUAUUUCCCGACUGAUCGUUAUGAUAGGCUAUGCCUUCACGAUCAGAGAAACACGUAGUAAGCUUUGCCUCCGUGAAUUGAAAAAAAAAAGUUACAUGGAAGGCUUUGCUUCCAUAAAUAAAAGAAAAGGUCAAAAAUGGUAGACUAAGUCUCCUCGGACAUUGAAAAAAGUAAAAGUUAAAAUGGUAGACCAUGUCUCCUCGGACUUUGAUAAAUAAUGAUCAAUAUGGUAGUCUAUGACUCCUCAGAUCAUGUGGUAAGCUAAGCCUCCUAGUUUUAUUUAUGCUCUUUAAAUUUCUGCAAUUUAAUUUACGCAUUUAAUUUAUGCCUUUAAUUUCUGUAUUUAAAUUUCCGUCUUUAUAUAUUAUUAUUCUAUGAAUUCGGUUAUCAUGUCAAAUUUGACAAAGCUCAAAAUAAAUACCCUUGAUAUUACGAGAAAUAAUUAUAAGACUUGGCCAGCGGGUGCAAAGAUGCACCUGAGAAAAAAUGAGCUUUGAGAAAUCAUCGAUAAGUUGAAAACUAUAUCAGAUGAGAAAAAGAAAAGCCAUGAUAUUUACACCAAUUCAAUGAUGGUUUAGAAGAUGAGGUAUAUCAUGAGAAAAGAUCUAGAAGAUCUUUGAUAAUUAAAUCCUUGAAAGAAAGGAUUGGCCAAUUUGUUGGAGUUGAUGUAAAUCCUCCGUGAGAAUUGAAAAGAAAAGAAACUCAUGAUACUAAACCAUCAAAUCGGUCCUAUUAGAAAAUGACGAGGCUGUGGAUGCGGUUGAAACCGCUAUCGUGGUCGUGGAAGAGGACGAAGAAGAAGAUUCCGUUUCUAUGAGAAUAAUGAAAACUUCCACGAAAAAUGAAAGUGGCCGGGUGAUAAAAGGCAAACAAAAAAUGUUUGCUAUAGAUACGGCCAUAAAAAAAUUGGGUACGUAGUUGACGUACGCCAAUAUUUAGCCGAUCUAUAUCGAGAAUCAAAAAAAAAAAGGAGGAAUGAAGUAUAUUAAACUUCGUUUCUUAUGAGCCCGAACCAUCUUUCAUAGCUUGAAUACUCAUCUUGAUGAUUCAGAUUUUAUGGUUGGUCCAGAAAAUAAAUAUAAAAUAUCAUGUGAUAUGAGAAUUAUCUUUCUGAAUAAGAUUUAAAGAUUCAGGAUGGAGAUAGAUAAACCUGGCAGAUAUUGAGUCAUCGUACAUGACUACUAAAGGUAACACAUAUUUGUUUUCUCUCAAAGUAAAUAAGUAUAGUAUCUAGUAAUAUAAAAAAUACUAUUGGCUCUAGAAGAGCUUAUAAUGAAAAGA